rnacentral:misc_RNA from 1 species
AACUUUUAGCAAUGGAUCUCUUGGCUCUCGCAUCGAUGAAGAACGCAGCGAAAUGCGAUACGUAAUGUGAAUUUCAGAAUUCAGCGAAUCAUCGAAUCUUUGAACGCAUAUUGCGCUCUUUGGUAUUCCGAAGAGCAUGCUUGUUUGAGUAUAAGUAAAUACCUCAAAGACUUCAAUUUGUUUUGAAUUGCUUUGGACUUGAGCAAUCUCAACACCAUUCUUUACGAUCGGUGGAGGGUUGCUUGAAAUGCAGGUGCAGCUGGACAUUCUCCUGAGCUAAAAGCAUAUUUAUUUAGUCCCGUCAAACGGAUUAUUACUUUUGCUGCAGCUAACAUAAAGGGAGUUUGACCGUAUUGGCUGACUGAUGCAGGAUUUCACAAGGGUCGGCAACGAUUCUUGUAAAACUCGAUCUCAAAUCAAGUAAGACUACCCGCUGAACUUAAGCAUAUCAAUAAGCGGAGGCU